AUUGAACGCUGGCGGCAGGCUUAACACAUGCAAGUCGAGCGGAGUGAUGGUGCUUGCACUAUCACUUAGCGGCGGACGGGUGAGUAAUGCUUAGGAAUCUGCCAUUUAGUGGGGGACAACAUUCCGAAAGGAAUGCUAAUACCGCAUACGUCCUACGGGAGAAAGCAGGGGAUCUUCGGACCUUGCGCUAAAUGAUGAGCCUAAGUCGGAUUAGCUAGUUGGUGGGGUAAAGGCCUACCAAGGCGACGAUCUGUAGCGGGUCUGAGAGGAUGAUCCGCCACACUGGGACUGAGACACGGCACAGACUCCUACGGGAGGCAGCAGUGGGGAAUAUUGGACAAUGGGCGGAAGCCUGAUCCAGCCAUGCCGCGUGUGAAGAAGGCCUUUUGGUUGUAAAGCACUUUAAGCGAGGAGGAGGCUACUAGUACUAAUACUACUGGAUAGUGGACGUUACUCGCAGAAUAAGCACCGGCUAACUCUGUGCCAGCCGCCGCAGUAACAC
rnacentral:rRNA from 1 species